CUCUGUAAACUUUUAAAAAGCCUCGAUCUCCUGAAAAGCGUUAGUUUUACAGCUUUCAUUUACCUCCUCUCUCUCUUCGCCAUUCCUUCUCUCUCUAUUCGCUUCCCUUGUUACGAAAGGUAGAGGCUUCAAAGGAUUUUGAAGCCUGAUGCUUCAAACGAUAUCGACAAGCUUCUUGGUAGGUAGCGUAGUAUAACUGAGAAAAUCCUCAAUGUAACAGUCUCUCUCUCUAGAUAGUUUUGUUCUCUCUCUCUACAUAUUUUUGUUCACUUGGCCACGAACUUUAUAUCUCCAUUCAAGACCCC
rnacentral:lncRNA from 1 species